CAGCCAACCAAUUAAUCUAUUUCUCUGAAUAGUUUCUGCAGAAAUUUAGAAACAGCUGGCAAUAGUGAUGCCAUUUUCUGAGCCUUAAAGACAACUGAGGUCAUUAUAGUCCCUCAGUAUGGCUACAAUA
ensembl:snoRNA